AGAAAAAACUUGGAGUAAAACAGGGCUGCUAACUUUGUUUUGGGUAAUUCGAUUUUAUCCUUUUUCUUAUGUUUUCAAGGCUUCCUUUUGGUUAU
rnacentral:tRNA from 1 species